AGUGAACGCUGGCGGUAGGCCUAACACAUGCAAGUCGAACGGCAGCACAGUAAGAGCUUGCUCUUACGGGUGGCGAGUGGCGGACGAGUGAGGAAUACAUCGGAAUCUACUUUUUCGUGGGGGAUAACGUAGGGAAACUUACGCUAAUACCGCAUACGACCUACGGGUGAAAGCAGGGGAUCUUCGGACCUUGCGCGAUUGAAUGAGCCGAUGUCGGAUUAGCUAGUUGGCGGGGUAAAGGCCAACCAAGGCGACGAUCCGUGGCUGGUCUGAGAGGAUGAUCAGCCACACUGGAACUGAGACACGGUCCAGACUCCUACGGGAGGCAGCAGUGGGGAAUAUUGGACAAUGGGCGCAAGCCUGAUCCAGCCAUACCGCGUGGGUGAAGAAGGCCUUCGGGUUGUAAAGCCCUUUUGUUGGGAAAGAAAAGCAGCAGGUUAAUACCCCGCUGUUCUGACGGUACCCAAAGAAUAAGCACCGGCUAACUUCGUG
rnacentral:rRNA from 1 species